CGCCAUCAGUCUCCAAUUGGCCGACGGUUAGACCGGUUUUGUCCAAUCCUUUUCUGAUUAUUCAAAAGCGUCAAAUGCCGUGUUAACUCUGGUUUGACGACGAUUGUUGUGCCAGUGCCGCAGCCGGAAUCAGCCGCCUCUAUCGAUCAGGUCAGCCUCGUCGAAAGGUAGACGAGGUGAACAACGAUCGCGAUCCUCAUCACCGGAGACGGGCGUCGGCUCCGGCACCAAAGGAUCCAGCGCGACCAAAGGUCGUCCAUUCGCCAAACCGAUUUCGCGAGCACUCAACAUGAGCGUGACGCAAAAAGUUGUCGGCUGCCUCAGGAGCAACGUCCUGACAAUCCUCAACAUCGCCGGCGUCUUCUCAGGCGUCGUCCUCGCCCUGGCACUCAGGUCGUCGCGCGAGGAGAAAUGGACACAACGAGAAAUUGUUUAUGUUGGUUUUGUAGGUGAUUUGUUUUUACGAAUUCUUAAGUGUCUCAUUCUGCCAUUGAUCGUCUCAUCAAUGACUUCAGCCAUCGGCUCUCUGGACCUUUCCGUGUCGGGACGGAUCGGUACGCGAGCCAUCGUCUACUAUAUGACCACCACCGUCAGCGCUGUCAUUCUGGGUAUCAUCCUCGUCCUGACUAUCCAUCCAGGCGAAGGAUCCGAUGAGGGAAUCGUUCGCGGCGGUUCCGUCCGUCACGUCACCACGGCCGACAUGCUCAUGGAUCUCAUCAGAAACCUGUUCCCACCGAAUUUGGUCCAGGCUUGCAUCGCUCAGUAUAAGACUGUGUUGACACCACCUGCCGACUAUUUGGAGUCUCUAGCCAAUAUGACCAACUCCAAUGGAACCGACGCCGGUAACAUGACCGCCGGAAAGCCAAAGAAAAUCUACGACUGGAAGAUGUCAUCCGACUACGUGGACGCCACCAAUAUCCUCGGACUCAUCGUCUUUUCCACCGUGUUGGGCAUCACGCUCGGCCGGAUGGGAGCCAAGGGCAAGCCGCUCCUCAACUUCUUCGUCUCGAUGAGCGAAGCCGUCAUGAUGAUCACCGGCUGGGUCGUUUGGUUGUCACCGGUAGGUGUCAUGUUUUUGGUGGCCUCCAAGAUGUUGGAAAUGGAGAGCUGGGAAGUCAUGUUGGGACAACUUGGCAUGUACUUUUUCACGGUGAUGAUUGGCCUCUUCAUCCACGGUUUCGUCGUUCUCCAGCUAAUCUACUUCAUUGUGACGCGGAAAUUGCCGUUCCGCUACGUCGGAAACCUCUCCGAAGCUCUGGCCACUGCUUUCGCCACUUCAUCGAGCUCGGCCACUCUACCCGUGGCGCUGAAAUGCUUGGAGGAGAAAAACCAAGUGGAUCCACGAGUGACCCGCUUCGUCAUGCCAAUUGGCGCCACCAUUAACAUGGACGGAACGGCCUUGUACGAAGCCGUCGCCGCCAUCUUCAUCUCGCAAGUGCGUGGUAUUCAUCUGACCAUGGGCAACGUUGUGGCUGUCAGCAUCACCGCCACAGCUGCUAGCAUCGGCGCCCCUGGAAUUCCUCAGGCCGGAAUCGUCGCCAUGGUGAUGGUUCUCGCUACUCUUGGCCUGCCAGCCGAAGACGUCUCCCUCAUCGUGGCUGUCGAUUGGUUUUUGGAUCGCUUCCGGACGUUUACCAAUGUGCUAGGAGAUUCGUUGGGAGCCGGUAUUGUGCACCAUUUGAGCCGUCAUGAGCUGGAAGAGAUGCCGAUCGAACCUGCCACUGGUCGAAGAGAGUCUGAUAUUGAACUGGACGGCCCGCUAGCUGGUGUCGAUCUAGAGAAGGGCGAGUCGAGCUACGGUGGCCCAAGCUCAGGAAUCCCAAUGUUACCUCCGCCGCCGUGGAAGUCGAAUGGCAGUCGACAUCCAUGUUAGUCUCGGCCCUGCCCUCGGAGGCUUUGAUCUAAACACCGCGCGCGCUGGCGACACGGCCGUUCUAGAGAUGAUGACGAGCUAUCAAUCGCCAUUUCGCUUAUUUCUUACGAUUUCUUAUGUUUAGACAUACAUAUUUUUUUUUUUUUGUUAUUUCAUUUUUAAAUUUUAUUCGUUUUUUUUUUUUUUUUUUUUUUUUUUUCAACGACGUUAUUCUAGAAAUUGAUUUGUAAUGAAACACUCCGGUGAAUUUCAUUCUCUGUAUCCUUUUCCUAAAUCAUGCUUUUGGGCGCUUUUGGGUUUGGAACUUUUUGAUACGUAGAAUUUAAGACCAACGUUGUACUGGUAUCUAUUGAAACAAAACUAAACUAAAAAAAGGAAAAAAAGAGACAAAAACAUUUUGUGCAAAGUUAUUAUGUAUCCGGGAAUUUAUUCGGACUGUCUAUGUCUACUGUUUUUAUACAUACCGUGUAUACACACAUCCUAACGCGGGAAUAAGUUAGUUUGGCAACAUCUUUCCAGGCGGACGCGACGCGUUGGCGUUGCAGACGAGUUUAUAAUUGGAACUGCAUGUGAAAGUUUCAGCAUUCGACAACUAACUCUCUGCUCUGCUAGUUUUGUUAGAAUCCACCAGCUUUGUUGAGAAUGCAGUGUCUCAACUCGCAAGUUUCGACGAGUAUCAUAUUGUCAAAGGCCACGUGGUGAAAUUUUAAAUCAAGGCGGGAUGAAACUUUAUUUCCGAGAAAUGAAAGGAUGGUAAAUCCUUCAUACGGCAGAUUGACAUGACUGCCUUUGAAGUAAGGGUGUUGUCCUAAAAGUGCUUUGCGGAAUGUAUAUUGAGUAUUGCUGUGGAGCUUCAAACCAAAUAUGGUGUGAUUGACAAUUAAGAAGUGGUGUUCAAGUCUUGUUGAAUUCUGGAACAUAUUGUGGCUCAUCCAUGAUUGACAGCUUUUCUUGAUGCUUCCAACCAGAAUUCAAUGUGAUGGUUGCUGGCUGCUCUGUGGAUUGGACAUUGCAAACUGGAUUAAGUCAUGUUCUCGAUUUAUUGCAUCAUUUCAAGUGUAUUAAGUUUCUGUAUUGUCUGUUGAAUGUAGACCGGUUAAAUCUCCGGUGGCGAGCUGGAGGAAUACACUGCAGGUCUUGAACUAUU